GUUGGUGGGGGUGGGGGGCGUAUGGCGGCUAGGCCCAGAAGGCCACGAGGACCGCCAGCGCCAUGGGGGUCACUCUUCCUGAUGCCAUAGGUUGCAAAGGCCGAGUGGAGAAGUCGGGGGAUCCCAGGGGUCAACCCUUGGGAUCGUUGAUGGCGGUGGGCUAAUCCACCAACAGAGGGGGUCGCCGCUGGGUCAAGGCAAGGAGAAGAUCUUCAGGGCCUGGAGGUAGAGGGCCAGGACCCACAGGAGAGGGCUUACUGCGAGGAGCAGCCAUGGAUGGAUAAGGGGUUGAGGCCCCGGGGAUGCUGAGCCAUGCAGAAGUGGAAGUGACUGGCUACCAGAAUCUGACAACUCUAAACCCUUUUAAUAAGUGGGAUUAAGACCAGCAACUCCACUGCACAUGAGCAGUAGGGCUCCAGAGAACUCCAGAAGUGUGGCCAGACAUGAGGCGACUGGUGACCUAGCCACAGGGACUUGAGGAACCUGGUGGGGGUUGGAGCUGAGGGCCACCGGAUUGCUGCUUUUUUGUGAUGGGUCACCAAAGCAGUUUCCCUCCAGGGCCUUGCGCAAACAGCCCAGGACCUCUCCAGCCAAGCCGCAAGCAGUCCCGCCGCCAGACCAGCUGCGCCAAAAGGUACCGGGGACUCCAGGGAAGCCGCCAGCAAGCUAGGAGAGUUUGGCUCUGGGGCGCACGGACAGGUGCGCACACUCUCUGCAGCGGUCUCUGGCCCCGCGAGCGCCCAGAGGCUGGCGGUGGCGGGGAAGACUGACGCGCGGCAGCCGAGGCACUGGUGCCAAGAUCCCGGGCUCCAAAUUGGCAGCGCCGGGACCUGGGCUCCAGCCUCUGAUCCCUUAAACACCGUGUGCGUGUGCGACUUCCCUGAGUUCUCGCCCAGUCCCAUUCUGAUUACUUUCCACACAUUGCAACAGUGUCGCUACGGCGGCUGCUCUUGAAUCGCAAAAGU